AACGAACGCUGGCGGCAGGCCUAACACAUGCAAGUCGAACGCCGUAGCGAUACGGAGUGGCAGACGGGUGAGUAACGCGUGGGAACAUACCCCUCGGUUCGGAAUAACUCAGGGAAACUUGAGCUAAUACCGGAUAAGUCCGAGGUUUUAAUCGACCUUGGAGAAAGAUUUAUCGCCGGAGGAUUGGCCCGCGUCUGAUUAGCUUGUUGGUGAGGUAAUGGCUCACCAAGGCGACGANCAGUAGCUGGUCUGAGAGGAUGAUCAGCCACAUUGGGACUGAGACACGGCCCAAACUCCUACGGGAGGCAGCAGUGGGGAAUAUUGGACAAUGGGCGAAAGCCUGAUCCAGCCAUGCCGCGUGAGUGAU
rnacentral:rRNA from 1 species